rnacentral:tRNA from 1 species
UGCGGGGUGGAGCAGCCUGGUAGCUCGUCGGGCUCAUAACCCGAAGGUCGUUGGUUCAAAUCCAACCCCCGCAACCA